UACAGAGGGUGCGAGCGUUGUUCGGAAUUAUUGGGCGUAAAGGGCGCGUAGGCGGUGCGGUAAGUCACCUGUGAAAUCUCCUGGCUCAACUGGGAGCUUGCAGGCGAAACUGCCGUGCUGGAGUGUGGGAGAGGUGCGUGGAAUUCCCGGUGUAGCGGUGAAAUGCGCAGAUAUCGGGAGGAACACCGGUGGCGAAGGCGGUUCUCUGGGCCUGACCUGACGCUGAGGAGCGAAAGCGUGGGGAGCGAACAGG
rnacentral:rRNA from 1 species